GACGAACGCUGGCGGCGUGCUUAACACAUGCAAGUCGAACGGAAAGGCCCUGCGUUUGUGGGGUGCUCGAGUGGCGAACGGGUGAGUAACACGCGUGUAACCUGCCCUUGUCUUUGGGAUAACUUCAGGAAACUGGGGCUAAUACCGCAUAGGAGCUCCUGCUGCAUGGUGGGGGUUGGAAAGUUUCGGCGGUUGUGGAUGGACUCGCGGCUUAUCAGCUUGUUAGUGGGGUAGUGGCUUACCAAGGCUUUGACGGGUAGCCGGCCUUGGAGGGUGAACGGCCACAUGGGGACUGAGGGACGGAGCAGAAGGGUAUGGGAGGCAGUGGGGGGGAACAUUGCGCAAUGGGGGGGAGCCUGAUGCAGCAGCGCCCCGUGCGGGAUGACCUCCUACGGGGUGUAAACAGCUGUGGCAUGUGAUGAAGAGGGAGUGACGGUACUGGGUAAAGAAGCACCGGCUAACUACGUG
rnacentral:rRNA from 1 species